AGUCCUUGGGAGGAACGUUUUCCCCCUUUUCUGGUUUACAAGACCAGGGUAAAUGUGCA
rnacentral:tRNA from 1 species